rnacentral:rRNA from 1 species
AUUGAACGCUGGCGGCAUGCCUAACGCAUGCAAGUCGAACGGUAACAGGCCCCUCGGGGCGCUGACGAGUGGCGGACGGGUGAGUAAUGCUUAGGAAUCUGCCUAGUAGUGGGGGAUAACCCGGGGAAACUCGGGCUAAUACCGCAUACGUCCUACGGGAGAAAGCGGGGGACCUUCGGGCCUCGCGCUAUUAGAUGAGCCUAAGUCCGAUUAGCUAGUUGGUAGGGUAACGGCCUACCAAGGCGACGANCGGUAGCUGGUCUGAGAGGACGACCAGCCACACUGGGACUGAGACACGGCCCAGACUCCUACGGGAGGCAGCAGUGGGGAAUAUUGGACAAUGGGCGCAAGCCUGAUCCAGCGAUGCCGCGUGUGUGAAGAAGGCCUGCGGGUUGUAAAGCACUUUCAGUUGUGAAGAAAAGCCGCGGCUAAUACCCCUCGUCUUGACGUUAAUGACAGAAGAAGCACCGGCUAACUCCGUGCCAGCAGCCGCAGUAAC